rnacentral:rRNA from 1 species
GGGAAACUGCCUGAUGGAGGGGGAUAACUACUGGAAACGGUAGCUAAUACCGCAUAACCUCGCAAGAGCAAAGAGGGGGACCUUAGGGCCUCUCGCCAUCAGAUGUGCCCAGAUGGGAUUAGCUAGUAGGUGAGGUAAUGGCUCACCUAGGCGACGAUCCCUAGCUGGUCUGAGAGGAUGACCAGCCACACUGGAACUGAGACACGGUCCAGACUCCUACGGGAGGCAGCAGUGGGGAAUAUUGCACAAUGGGCGCAAGCCUGAUGCAGCCAUGCCGCGUGUGUGAAGAAGGCCUUCGGGUUGUAAAGCACUUUCAGCGAGGAGGAAGGCGGUAAGGUUAAUAACCUCAUCGAUUGACGUUACUCGCAGAAGAAGCACCGGCUAACUCCGUGCCAGCAGCCGCGGUAAUACGGAGGGUGCAAGCGUUAAUCGGAAUGACUGGGCGUAAAGCGCACGCAGGCGGUCUGUUAAGUUGGAUGUGAAAUCCCCGGGCUUAACCUGGGAACUGCAUUCAAAACUGACAGGCUAGAGUCUUGUAGAGGGGGGUAGAAUUCCAGGU